GUCUCUGUAGCGCAAUGGAGAGCGCAUUGGAUUUCUAAUCUGAAGGUCGUGGGUUCAAAUCCCACCCGGGAUG